rnacentral:rRNA from 1 species
AGGAAAAGAAACUAACAAGGAUUCCCUUAGUAACGGCGAGUGAAGCGGGAAGAGCUCAAAUUUGAAAUCUUCAAGGUUUUACCUUGACGAAUUGUAGUUUAAAGAAGUGUUUUCUGUUGAAGUUUUGGUAAAAGUUCUUUGGAAUAGGACAUCAUAGAGGGUGAGAAUCCCGUAUUUGACCAUUAUUUUCAGCUGUGUGAUACACUUUCAAAGAGUCGGAUUGUUUGGGAAUGCAGUCCAAAAUGGGUGGUAAAUUUCAUCUAAAGCUAAAUAUUGGCGAGAGACCGAUAGCGAACAAGUACCGUGAGGGAAAGAUGAAAAGAACUUUGAAAAGAGAGUUAAACAGUACGUGAAAUUGUCAAAAGGGAAGCGUUUGACACCAGUGUUGUUUUCUCGAAAAUCAAUUAAAAAAAGUUGGAUUUUGUGUUGUAUUGACCUUAACAGCUUGCUUCACUCUUUUCCUGCUUUUUUUAAUGCACUUUUCGUUUAACAAGUCAACAUCAGUUUCUUUUGUUGUAAAAGGGUCAUUGGAAGGUGGCUUUCUCUUCGGAGAAAGUGUUUAUAGCCUUUGAUCUCUGCAAUCGGAGAGACUGAGGUCUGCAGCGUAGAUCCUUCGGGGUUAGAUACAUUUGUGCUAAGCUACAGCUUUUCAUAGACAACUUGUUGACUAUGUUUAGUCUUGUGACUUACCCGCUUAUGCUAUUUUACCUACGCUUAGGAUGUUGACAAAAUGGUUUUAAAC